AGCANCCGCGGUAAUUCCAGCUCCAAUAGCGUAUAUUAAAGUUGUUGCAGUUAAAAGGCUCGUAGUUGAAUUUCGGGGUCAGCAGGUUGGUCGUGCCUAUGGUAUGAACCGGCUUCGCUGGUCUCUCCUUUCUGAAGAACUGUAAUGCCAUUAAUUUGGUGUUGCAGGGACACAGGACUGUUACUUUGAAAAAAUUAGAGUGUUUAAAGCAGGCUAACGCUUGAAUACAUUAGCAUGGAAUAAUGAAAUAGGACGUUCGAACCUAUUUUGUUGGUUUCUAGGAUUGACGUAAUGAUUAAUAGGGAUAGUUGGGGGCAUUAGUAUUCAAUUGUCAGAGGUGAAAUUCUUGGAUUUAUUGAAGACUGACUACUGCGAAAGCAUUUGCCAAGGAUGUUUUCAUUAAUCAAGAACGAAAGUUAGGGGAUCGAAGACGAUCAGAUACCGUCGUAGUCUUAACCAUAAACUAUGCCGACUAGGGAUCGGAUGAUGUUAAUUUUUUAAUGACUCA
rnacentral:rRNA from 1 species